AAUGCCUAGGAAUCUGCCUGGUAGUGGGGGACAACGUUUCGAAAGGAACGCUAAUACCGCAUACGUCCUACGGGAGAAAGCAGGGGACCUUCGGGCCUUGCGCUAUCAGAUGAGCCUAGGUCGGAUUAGCUAGUUGGUGAGGUAAUGGCUCACCAAGGCGACGAUCCGUAACUGGUCUGAGAGGAUGAUCAGUCACACUGGAACUGAGACACGGUCCAGACUCCUACGGGAGGCAGCAGUGGGGAAUAUUGGACAAUGGGCGAAAGCCUGAUCCAGCCAUGCCGCGUGUGUGAAGAAGGUCUUCGGAUUGUAAAGCACUUUAAGUUGGGAGGAAGGGCAUUAACCUAAUACGUUAGUGUUUUGACGUUACCAACAGAAUAAGCACCGGCUAACUCUGUGCCAGCAGCCGCGGUAAUACAGAGGGUGCAAGCGUUAAUCGGAAUUACUGGGCGUAAAGCGCGCGUAGGUGGUUCGUUAAGUUGGAUGUGAAAUCCCCGGGCUCAACCUGGGAACUGCAUCCAAAACUGGCGAGCUAGAGUAGGGCAGAGGGUGGUGGAAUUUCCUGUGUAGCGGUGAAAUGCGUAGAUAUAGGAAGG
rnacentral:rRNA from 1 species